rnacentral:rRNA from 1 species
ACGCUCGACACCUACGGGAAGCAGCAGUGGGGAAUAUUGCACAAUGGAGGAAACUCUGAUGCAGCGACGCCGCGUGAGCGAAGAAGUAUUUCGGUAUGUAAAGCUCUAUCAGCAGGGAAGAAAAAGGACGGUACCUGACUAAGAAGCUCCGGCUAAAUACGUGCCUGCAGCCGCGGUAAUCUGAGCGGGCUGGCAAGGC